UUUUUUUUUCAAGGUGGAGUCUUGCUCUGUCACCCAGGCUGGAGUGCAGUGACAUGAUCUCAGCUCACUGCAACCUCCGCCUCCUGAGUUCAAGCAAUUUUCCUGCUGAGUAGCUGGGAUUACAGGCACCCACCACCACACCCAGCUAAUUUUUGAGUUUUUCAUAGAGACGGAGUCUCACUAUGUUGGCCAGGCUGGUCUCAAACUCCUGACCUGGUGAUCCGCCCGCCUCGGCCUCCCAAAGUGCUGUGAUUACAGGCAUGAGUCACCACGUCCGGCCAAUACUUUCAAUUUGAUUCUCAACAAGGAGGGGUCUAGGAUCCUCCUGGAGAAAGGUAAAUGGCUGGGAGUUUAAAGUACAGGGCCAGCUCCUGGAAACCUGCCACUCCUUCCCAAGACCAUGCAGAGAACCUGUGUCUCAGGCUCCCGUGUCACUCUUCUGUGGCAGCUGGCACAGGCACUUCAGACAAGAGCUUUCUCUGUCAAAACACACCAGCCCGAUUUGUCCAAGGGCACAGUCACCUGGUCCUGUCUCUGGAAGCUGAGAGGAAGGUUCAGAGGUGUGAUUUUAGAAGCAGGGGCGCAGAAAGUGCCAAGCCCACCACCCAGCAUUCCGUCACUGGAGCCCUGUUGGUUCAACCUAGAAGAUCUCUGUGUGCUCAUGUGUCCUUUUGAAGAAAUCUGGCUGGAAACAGCCAUCUGUUAAGUUACAGGUAUUUUACUCAUUUAUACUUCAGCACGGAAGAACUGAUAGCAAAUAGCAAACAUGUCGCCUGGGACAAAGGGAUGCUGACAGCCAUGUGGAAGAAUGAGGGCAAUACCCACAGAUCCCUGCCCCCCGAACUUGGCCAGCUCCACCACUGAGUGAGGCCGAAGUUUGCUCCCCUGUGGACACGAGUUGGCAUACAACUUGGAGCGCCUGUGAGCACAUGCAGCCCAGACGAGGGGCGAGGUGCACAGGGAGACUAUGGGAGGUGGCAGGCUUUUCAUAUAACUCUGUGAUCUUCAAACAAGCUUUGUAUUCAAGCACAGUGUGCAAUAUUAGUGUCAAGUUUCCAUUUAACUUUAGAAUUUUAUUCACACAACGAUUCAGUAAGCCCUCAUGAAAACAGUGAAUGAAGCAGUGAGACAACACACCAGUGCCGUCCCCAGUGGCAAACUCCUAGGGCCAUGGGCACAUCUGCUGUUUCUUUUCCAUAACCCUGGGACCCCCACACAGAGCAGGUGCCCAGCAGCCUUUGCUAACCCGGACAGGGAACCAUAAGGAUGAUCAUACUGGAGAGAGGGGCUCCGAUACAGGAGGAACAACCUCUCCCUGUUCACGUGAAGCUCUCUCCUAUUAAU
rnacentral:lncRNA from 1 species